CGGCUUCUCUACCUUCGAAAUUUCUCUCUUCCCUUGAAUUUUAAUGGUCUAAGGUUCCUUUCAUUCUUCUGUAUUUGUGAUUAGGAAGUGUUGGAGUUCUACUAGUCUCAUAGAUUUUCUUGAUUUUGAGAAGAUUCGAUGGUAUCUUCUGAAUUUGAUGCCCGAAUAUUUCAUUUCCGUAAUCACCUAAUGGUGGAGAAGAAGCUAUUAUAUGGUGGUCAUGAAUCAAGUCUGGCCAUGAAAUGUUGGUUGAUACUGUAGAAAGUUUCAGUAUCCUACCUCUCCAGAUUCCAUUUGAUUAGAAAGAGAGAGGGCUCUAGUGGGGGACCAUAAAAUUUAAUCUAUCUGAUUUCUUGAUUAAGACAUGAAGAUAAUAUGAAUUAGGUGCCAUCUUUUGAAUCGUAGUAGCAUACCUCCCAAGCAAUUAUGUAUCUAAAUCUAUGAUUCAAAAGUAUCUGGUAUCUUUUGAUUUUAUUUUUCCACAGUGAUUGAGUCAAAAUUACACUUGAUAUGAGCCUAUUGAUAUUGCUAUAACUACUGAGUUUGUACUGAAUUUUUGUUAUUAGAAUAAUAUUGCACGUAUUGGGUUUAUUGAGUGUGAAAGCUAUGUAUUUGUAAAAAAAACCCAGCUCCUUGUUAUUUGUCAUUUCGUAAAUUUACUGUGUUUGUUGCAGUACUAUCCCUACUUUCGGAUUAUGUGUCAUUUUGUUGGAUUAUCUUAUUGGAAAAGUUGAUUGAUAUAAGCUUCACAUGGAACCGACUAAAAAUCCACCCUCUGCUAGUCUUGGGUGGUGAGUCUCACCGCCCAAGAAUUAUCAGGGGUUGAUUUUUAGACCCAUGGGUCCUAUUAUUGGGUCACGGGAAAAACAUGCCGAACCCAACCUACGGUACGGAAGAUUCAACUACGAAUGCCUGAAAUGUAUUUCAUUUUGUAUGGAAAAACUGCAGCUAGCAUUUUGAGUUCGUAUCUUCUCCUGGAGCAUUGAAAGACUGCUAUCACUACAACAGUAUAGUGUGUCAUAAUCAUUUUUCAUACACUAAAUUGCAUGAGAAAUUGCAAGUUAGAUUUUCAUUUGAAUCAACAUUUUGACAUGCUGUUAGUGUAGUUGUAUUUGAAGUUACAUAAGAUGGAGUAUGAUACAACAAUGCUAGCUAGAUAACAACAAAAGAAAAACAUUUCAUAAAAUUUGAUAUGAGGCUAAAGUAUUUAACUUUUCUUAGUAAAUUUGAAUAUCUAAUCUUCUUUUUUAUGAUUUAAAUUGAUUUAAUUUUUCUUAGUAAAUUUGUAAUGAUAAUAAAUGUUGCAUUUUAUUGGGGUUUUUGAGUGUGAAGGCUAUGUAUUCCUUUGCAGUUGUGUAUACCAAUGAUGGAGAAAUUGAAAACCAGUUGAGAUUAGUUUUAACUGGUAGCGGCCAGACAACCGUAGGGAUAUCCACGGAUAACAGAUAAAGAGUUGCAUACAUCUCUCUCUCUAUCUGCGGUAAGAUCCUUGACCAGGUAACUUUAGAUCUUUCAUGGGUUUAUGUCAUCAUUUGGCCCCAAUGAUAUUAAAUUACUUCAUCUGUUGAUUUUUGUAGUGCAGUAUUUGGUGCAUUGUGAUUGUUCCUUUCAUGGCACGUUUUUAUGUCUUUGGAAACAUGAGGGCUGUUACUUGUCUUACUGAUUUAAUAGUAAGUUGUAGAGGUUCUAUGCUAUAUAUUACUGGCUAAUUGCAUCACUGCUCUGGGCAUCAACAGAUUUCUCUAGGCAAAAUCAUCAAGAUCAUGAACAAAUGCUGGGUACAUGUCAAUCCAUACGUCUCCAAGCCCAUCGACCCUCUGCUGAUAACAGGUUGUGGGCUAUGGGACAUAUGCGUGUCCAUUGACCUGUAGUUUGUUUGUGAGAUUGUUGAAACCUUUGUAUGGGGAAAUUUAUAGCCAAAAUAUUUUUGUUAUAAAAUGAGUUGAAAAAUAGUUCUAACUAAAAAAGCCAAAAUAUUUUUAUGUGAAUAUACAUUCCUAGUCUCUAGUCAGAUAAUAGAGAUACAAUCUUACUGCUCAGGGAAUUGUCAACAAGAUAAGUAAACGAUGGAAUAUAAUUUAAAAAGCAGGAUAUAUACAGAACUCGCAUUUUUAGUAAUUUCAUUAUCUUGGAAAAGGGGAAAAUAAUCUAUACGUCGUGUGCACACAACUGUCUAUACAAACACUAUAAUGGAAGUUGUCGUUAGUCAGAUUUAAAUCUAUGUGAACGCCCCAUGUAAUAAGGCUUUAAAGCAAAAAAAUAUUUGUAAGCGUUAGAGGUGUAAACACGUUUACUUGAUGAGUUAUAUACCAUGUGGUCAUCACUAGUGUACUGAAGUUGAGAUUCGAUUUGUCUGCCAAAUAGAGGUUCUGAAAUCUUAUCAGAACUUUCCGUGGAAACUGAUCCUGAUAACAUAAUUAAGAGUAGUCAAGUAAAUAUCCAUCACUAGAGCCAAAAAUGUGCAAAUCCCCAAGUAAAAUAUCAUCAUUACAGAUGGGAUUUGCACCUCUCUAACACCACGUCCUGUGGACUCAUGCGAUAUCAGCAGGCUGUUUUUUAUCAAAACAAGUAAACCGUUAAAAACAUAUCAGUACAAAAACAAAUCAUUGUACAACUUGGUAAUAUUUUUUGCUUCAUACUCUUAUUACAUGGAGCGUUCACACAGAUAUAAACCGUACUAGCCAACUAUAGGAAUGUAGCGACAACUCUACAAAAUCCAUUACACUAGUUAAUGAAUGAAAAAUAUAAACCUUUUAAAAUUACUAAAUGACAAGUUGUGUAUAUGCCCUUUUUCUAAAUUAUAUUGCUUCCAUAUUCCGGCGUUUAUUUCUUGCGAUUAAAAAUGCAUACGAUAAUCAAAAUUAAAUUAGUAUAAUAUUGUAAGCGCUAGAGGUGUGCAUGAUAAAAUCCAUUACACUAGUUAAUGAAUGAAAAAUAUAAACCUUUUAAAAUUACUAAAUGACAAGUUGUGUAUAUGCCCUUUUUCUAAAUUAUAUUGCUUCCAUAUUCCGGCGUUUAUUUCUUGCGAUUAAAAAUGCAUACGAUAAUCAAAAUUAAAUUAGUAUAAUAUUAUAAGCGCUAGAGGUGUGCAUGAUAAAAUACAGUAGAAACUCUAUAAAUUAAUGUUGUUGGGACCAUCAGAAUUUAUUAAUUAAGCGAGAUAUUAAUUGACGAUAAAUAUUAAUUAAUAUCUUAUUAACUUAUAGAUAAAUUGAACUUUAAUCAACAAAUAAUGUAGGUUUAGACAAUUCGGAUGAACAGUUUAGAUAGUGAUAUCAGUCAAGACUUGUAAAAUUUGAUCGAAAAGUUGGGUUAUCGCAAUCCAAUGAAUGUCAAUAUGUCGUGAAUAUCUGGAAGAAAACGAAGUUACGCAAUUGUUGACUGAUGAAGAAAUAAUUGAGAGCGUUAUGGGAACUGAUAAAGAUGGGAAAAAAGAUGAUGAAAGUUCUACGAUAGCCCUUCAUGAAACGAGGUUGUUAAGGCCACAAUCACAUUAAAUAAUUUCUCACUGGGCUAUGAGAAACAACACUAGAAACUCUUACGAUGAUAAAUGUGAUAUUGAUUUUAACAAA